rnacentral:rRNA from 1 species
UACGUAGGGUGCGAGCGUUAAUCGGAAUUACUGGGCGUAAAGCGUGCGCAGGCGGUUCGUUAAGUUCGAUGUGAAAGCCCCGGGCUCAACCUGGGAACUGCAUUGGAAACUGGCGAGCUUGAAUGCGGCAGAGGGGGGUGGAAUUCCGCGUGUAGCAGUGAAAUGCGUAGAGAUGCGGAGGAACACCGAUGGCGAAGGCAGCCCCCUGGGCCGACAUUGACGCUCAGGCACGAAAGCGUGGGGAGCAAAC